AGUGAACGCUGGCGGUAGGCCUAACACGUGCAAGUCGAACGGCAGCACAGUAAGAGCUUGCUCUUACGGGUGGCGAGUGGCGGACGGGUGAGGAAUACAUCGGAAUCUACUUUUUCGUGGGGGAUAACGUAGGGAAACUUACGCUAAUACCGCAUACGACCUACGGGUGAAAGCAGGGGAUCUUCGGACCUUGCGCGAUUGAAUGAGCCGAUGUCGGAUUAGCUAGUUGGCGGGGUAAAGGCCCACCAAGGCGACGAUCCGUAGCUGGUCUGAGAGGAUGAUCAGCCACACUGGAACUGAGACACGGUCCAGACUCCUACGGGAGGCAGCAGUGGGGAAUAUUGGACAAUGGGCGCAAGCCUGAUCCAGCCAUACCGCGUGGGUGAAGAAGGCCUUCGGGUUGUAAAGCCCUUUUGUUGGGAAGGAAAAGCAGCAGGUUAAUACCCCGCUGUUCUGACGGUACCCAAAGAAUAAGCACCGGCUAACUUCGUG
rnacentral:rRNA from 1 species